UACGGGGGGGGCAAGCGUUGUUCGGAAUUACCGGGCGUAAAGGGUUUGUAGGUGGCUUGCUAAGUCAGACGUGAAAUCCCUCAGCUUAACUGGGGAACUGCGUCUGAGACUGGCGAGCUUGAGUGCAGGAGAGGAACGCGGAAUUCCAGGUGUAGCGGUGAAAUGCGUAGAUAUCUGGAGGAAUACCGGUGGCGAAGGCGGCAUCCUGGACCGGCAUUGACGCUGAGGAGCGAAAGCCAGGGGAGCAAACGGG
rnacentral:rRNA from 1 species